GGGGAUUAUUAAAGAGAAAACGUAAGAUUUUGGGAUAAACGGGGGAUUUCCAAAGAGAAAAUGCGUGAUUGCUGGGUAUGUGGGAAUUUCCAAAGAGAAAAUGCAUGAUUUUUGCUUAAAUGGGGAAUUCUUGAAGAGAAAGCAUGUGAUUUUUGCUUAAAUCGGGGAUGUUAGAAGAAAAAACGUAUGAUUUUUGCUUAAGUGGGGGAUUCUUGAACAGAAAGCACGUGAUUUUCGCUUAUGUGGGGGAUUCUCGAAGAGAAAACACGUGAUUUUUGGGUAAAAUGGGGGAUUAUUGAAGAGAAAACACAUGAUUUUCGCGUUAAAUGGGGGAUUCUCGAAGAGAAAACACGUGAUAUUCAGCUAAGAUGGGGGAUUAUCGAAGAGAAUGUUCGUGAUUUUCGUUUACAAGGAAGAUUCUCGAAGAGAAAGCACGUGAUUUUCAGGUUAAAUGGGGGAUUCUCGAAGAGAAAGCGUGUGAUUUUUGCUUAAAUGGGGGAUUCUCGAAGAGAAAACACAUGAUUUUUGGGUAAAAUGGGGGAUUCUUGAAGAGAAAACACACGGUUUUCACUUAAAUGUGGGAUUCUAAAAGACAAAACGCGUGGUCUUCGGGUGAAAUGAUGGAUUUUCGAAGAAAAAAUGUAUGAUUUUUGCUUAAAAGGGGGAUUCUCGAAGAGAAAGCGCGUGAUUUUUGGCUUAAAUGGGGGAUUCCCGAAGAGAAAACGCGUGAUUUUCGGGUUAAAUGGGGGAUUUGCAAAGAGAAAACGCGUGAUUUUUGCUGAAAUGGGGGAUUCUCAAAGAGAAAAUGCGUGAUUUUUGCUUAAAUCGGGGAUGUUAGAAGAAAAAACAUGUGAUUUUCACUUAAAUGGGGGAUUUGCAAAAAGAAGAGCCGUGAUUUUUGCUUAAAUGGGGGAUUCUCUUAGAGAAAACACAUGAUUUUUGCUUAAAUGGGGGAUUUGCGAAGAGAAAACGUGUGAUUUUCGGGUUAAAUGGGGGUUUUCUGAAAAGAAAACACGUGAUUUUUGCUUAAAUGGGUGAUUCUCGGAGAGAAAACGUGAUUUUUGGAUUAAACGGGAAAUUCUCAAUGAGAAACGCGUGAUUUUCGGGUUAAAUGGGGGAUUUGCGAAGAGAAAACGCGUGAUUUUCGGGUAAAAUGGGGGAUUCUCGAAGAGAAAACGCGUGAUUUUCGGAUUAAAUGGGGAAUCCUCAAAGAGAAAACGCAUGAUUUUCGAGUUAAGUGGGGGGUUCUCAUAGAGAAAACGUAUGACUUUUGGGUUAAAUGGGGGAUUCCUGAAGAGAAAUCGCGUGAUUUUUGCUUAAAUGGGGGAUUUCCGAAGAGAAAACGCGUGAUUUUUGCUGACAUGGGGGAUUUCCGAAGAGAAAACGCGUGAUUUUUGCUGACAUGGGGAUUCACGAAGAGAAAACGCGUGAUUUUAGGGUUAAAUGGGGGAUUUUCGAAGAGAAAAUGCAUGAUUUUCACUUAAAUGGGUAAUUCUCAGAGAGAUUUUCUCUCAAAUGGGUGAUUCUCAAAGAGAAAAUGCGUGAUUUUUGCUUAAAUCGGGGAUGUUAGAAGAAAAAACAUGUGAUUUUCACUUAAAUGGGGGAUUUGCAAAAAGAAAGAGCGUGAUUUUUGCUUAAAUGCGGGAUUCUCUAAGAGAAAACACGUGAUUUUUGCUUAAAUGGGGGAUUGUUGUAGAGAAAACACGUGAUUUUCGCUUAAAAGGGGUAUUCUCAAAGAGAAAGCGCGUGAUUUUUGCUUAAAUGGGGGAUUCUCGAGGAGAAAACACGUGAUAUUCGGGUUAAAUGGGGGUUUUCUGAAGAGAAAACAUGGCAUUUUUGCAUAAAUGGGGGUUUCCGAAGAGGAAAUGCGUGAUUUUUGGGUUAAGUGGGGGAUUCUCAAAAAGAAAGCACGUGAUUUUUGGCUUAAAUGGGUAUUUCCAAAAAGAAAACGCGUGAUUUUCUCUUAAUUGGGAGCUUUGGAAGAAAAAACGUAUGAUUUUCACUUAAAUGGGAAAUUCUCGAAGAGAAAACGCAUGACUUUCAC
ensembl:lncRNA